CAAGCAAGCCAAGGACCAUAUGUUUUUUGUGUUACACUUUCAGCAUCUAAGCUUAUUAUAUUCAACACAAGGAGAAAGUCCCCGGAAAAAAAAAUAUCUUCUGUCCAAUGAUUAAGAUUAGGGCAGUGGGGUAUUUAGUAAAGCAACUUUGUUUGUUGUUUUUUUUCAUAUAAAAAGUAAUAUGGUCACCCUAUAAUAAUGGGGCAACUUAAUGGGGCUUACUCUGGCUUGUUU
rnacentral:RNase_MRP_RNA from 2 species